rnacentral:rRNA from 1 species
GGAUCCAGACUUUGAUUAUGGCUCAGAUUGAACGCUAGCGGCAGGCCUAACACAUGCAAGUCGAACGGUAACAGGAAACAGCUUGCUGUUUCGCUGACGAGUGGCGGACGGGUGAGUAAUGUCUGGGAAACUGCCUGAUGGAGGGGGAUAACUACUGGAAACGGUAGCUAAUACCGCAUAACGUCGCAAGACCAAAGAGGGGGACCUUCGGACCUCUUGCCAUCGGAUGUGCCCAGAUGGGAUUAGCUAGUAGGUGGGGUAACGGCUCACCUAGGCGACGAUCCCUAGCUGGUCUGAGAGGAUGACCAGCCACACUGGAACUGAGACACGGUCCAGACUCCUACGGGAGGCAGCAGUGGGGAAUAUUGCACAAUGGGCGCAAGCCUGAUGCAGCCAUGCCGCGUGUAUGAAGAAGGCUUUCGGGUUGUAAAGUACUUUCAGCGGGGAGGAAGGGAGUAAAGUUAAUACCUUUGCUCAUUGACGUUACCCGCAGAAGAAGCACCGGCUAACUCCGUGCCAGCAGCCGCGGUAAUACGGAGGGUGCAAGCGUUAAUCGGAAUUACUGGGCGUAAAGCGCACGCAGGCGGUUUGUUAAGUCAGAUGUGAAAUCCCCGGGCUCAACCUGGGAACUGCAUCUGAUACUGGCAAGCUUGAGUCUCGUAGAGGGGGGUAGAAUUCCAGGUGUAGCGGUGAAAUGCGUAGAGAUCUGGAGGAAUACCGGGUGGCGAAGGCGGCCCCCUGGACGAAGACUGACGCUCAGGUGCGAAAGCGUGAGGAGCAAACAGGAUUAGAUACCCUGGUAGUCCACGCCGUAAACGAUGUCGACUUGGAGGUUGUGCCCUUGAGGCGUGGCUUCCGGAGCUAACGCGUUA